ACGACGUCGACUCAAACAGAGAGGAAGAGACGAAGCAAGAGGGAUAGCUGGGCCCAAAAUCUAUCCUCUCAAGCAGAAAAGUUCUGUCGUUUCUGACCACCCCCUCUGCGUGGCCCUCCACGACCCCUCCCUCCCUCUCUCCGUCCCUCCCACAUGGGCAUGGGGGCCUCAAUUUCUCCUGGCCGUCCACCCCGGUCUGGUACACUGCCCAUCAAUACCUUCACAGAGACAGAGAAGACAGAAUAAUCAGAAUAGUACAUCUCUUUAUCUUCAUUCUAAAAAUCUAACAAAACUCAAAGCUAGUUAGCUACAGCAUACCUUGUGGACUUUAGUGCUUUCCCCUGCCUUUACUGGUAAAAUGUAAGAUUGGUCUUUUCUUGCUGCAAGCAGAAGAGACAUGGAGACUUGGGAUAUGAGGGGAAGUGAUGAGAGUGGAGGUAUUGAGGCAAGCACUUCACUGCGCUCCUGUGGAGAACAUGGAAACAGGACCUGAGCCCUAGGACCAUGCCCCAGGACUACCUGACAUGAUGACUCCUUGCUGUCCCCAGUCCACCUGGCCGUGCUGCUGCUCCAGUUUCAACUGUUCUGCCUUAUUAUUAUUCGACCAUGCUGGUCAUUUAUGAACAUUUGAAUAUCUUGGCCAUGUUCUGUUAUAAUCUCCACCUGGCACAGCCAGAAGAAGACUGGCCACCCCACAUAGCCUGGUUCCUCUCUAGGUUUCUUCCUAGGUUUUGGCCUUUCUAGGGAGUUCUUCCUAGCCACUGUGCUUCUACACCUGCAUUGCUUGCUGUUUUGGGGUUUUAGGCUGGGUUUCUGUACAGCACUUUGAGAUAUCAGCUGAUGUACGAAGGGCUAUAUAAACAAAUGUGAUAUAUAUGCAAAAAGUUAACGCUGACUUACACAGAUCGUCAAUCCUAAUUUUCUUGCUGACUGUGGAACUAAUGGUUCUGAGUUCGUCCCUGCGAUUUGCUGUGCUCUCAGCAAAUGCUCACUGAAUGCAAAAAAAAUGUUGCUCAUCACACCUCAUGUCACCAUGGAGAAACUCUCAAUCCUCGUCCUUGAUUUGACAUCUGAGGACUUCAACUUUUUGCUCCUGACUGACAUGCCUUAACUUGCUGUUCACUGCGAAGACUCUCCCUCAAGAUCCUCUGUCUGACCCUAUUCAAUGAAAACCUGUCACCUGGUAUCCAGGGGGGAGGGGAGGGAAAAAUUGCGCCAAUGCAACAAAAGGGCAUGUUUAUGUUUGUUUUACACUGUAAUGUAUUUUUUUGGAGUACAAUUGUUGAUUCUUGCAACUCCAGACAUUUUUGGGACUUAUUCUGGAGACCCAGGUCUGAUGGAAUAUGGUCCUUAGGAGUUGGAGAUCUUAUCACACUGCCAUAUUUAGCAGAUAUGAUCCAAAGGUCAGUGCUGGCAACACCUUACAGACUGUUCCACAUGGGGUGCAGCAUGAAGCUGUGAAGAUAGAAAUGGACUUUGUUCCUGUGCUGUGCACAUGCCUGUUAAUUCUGCUCGAAGUGGCCUUGCGUUUGCGCCCAUUGACUACAAUUAAGUAAUUUGCACUCUAGUGCUUUUAAUAUGGACAUACAUUAGGAACACCUGCUUUCUCCAAUGACAGACUGACAGGUGAAAGCUACAGCACCUUAUUGAUGUCACUUGUUAAAUCCAAUUCAAUCAGUGUAGAUGAAGGGAAGGAGACAGGUUAAAUAAUAAUUUUUAAGAGUUGAGACAUGGAUUGUGUAGGUUUGCCAUUCAGAUGGUGAAGGGGCAAGACAAAAUAUUGAAGUGCCUUUGAACGGGGUAUGGUUGUAGGUGCCAGCUAGACUGGUUUGAGUAUGUCAAGAACUCAACAGUUUCCUGUUUGUAUCAACAAUGGUCCACCACCCAAAGGACAUCCAGCCAACUUGACACAACUGUGGGAAGCAUUGGAGUCAACAUGGGCCAGCAUCCCUGUGGAGUGCUUUCAAAACCAAAUAAUUGAGGCUGUUCUGAGGGCAAAAGGGGGUGCAGCUCAAUAUUAGGAAGGUGAUUGUAAUGUUUUGUACACUCAGUAUCGAUUUAGCCUGCAUAUAAAGUAACGUUUAGUA